rnacentral:rRNA from 1 species
GGUUGAUCCUGCCAGUAGUCAUAUGCUUGUCUCAAAGAUUAAGCCAUGCAUGUCUCAGUGUAAACUUUUAAACAGUGAAACUGCGAAUGGCUCAUUAAAACAGUUAUAGUUCAUUUGAUAAUCAGCUUUACAUGGAUAACCGUGGGAAUUCUAGGGCUAAUACAUGCGAGAACCUUUUGGUUUGUGUUUAUUAGAUAAAAAUCAACGCCGUGUUUACACGGUAUUGUUGGAAUGAUAAUAACCGAUCGAAUCGCGUGCUUUAUGCAGCGAUGAAUCAUUCGAGUUUCUGAC